rnacentral:rRNA from 1 species
AUGGCCCACCACAUUCCCCGUCCCUUUCCCCUUCCCCUUCGUCGCCGCCUCCACCACCUCUUCCUCCUUGCCCUCCUCGCCGUCGCAUCAGGUAACCCUAGCCCCGGGGUGUACGAUCGGGGGGCCGACGAAGCGGAGGCGUACUCGAUCCUGACAUUUCAUGACUACACGCCGCCGCCUCCCCCAGCGCUGCCGCCCCCGCCGGCCGCCCCGGCGGCGACCUGCGCCGGCGACCUCGGUGGCGUGGGCGACCUCGACACGCGCUGCGUAGUCCCCGCGUCCGUGCGGCUCGAGGGCGGUGGCGUCUUCAUCAGCGGGAAUGGCAGCCUCCAGCUCCUCGACGGUGUCUCUGUCACCUGCCAGAGGCCAGGGUGCGUUGUCUCCGCCAAUUUGUCUGGUGAUAUCCGCUUCGGCCAUGGCGCCCGUGUCGUAGCCGGAUGGGUCUCUCUCGCGGCCACCAACAUCACUCUCGGCGACGACGCCGUUAUCGUCGCCACUGCGCUUGCCGGCAACCCGCCGGAUAAGACCAGCGGCGUACCCACCGGGACAUAUGGAGAUGGUGGUGGGCAUGGUGGCCGCGGCGCAAGCUGCUACGUCAAUAAGGGGCAAACGCAGGAGGACUCGUGGGGUGGCGAUACCUAUGCGUGGUCUGAGCUCAAGACCCCGAAUAGCUAUGGGAGCAAAGGGGGAUCUACUAGCGUCGAGAAGGACUAUGGUGGCGGGGGUGGCGGAGUAGUGUGGUUGUUUGCAGAUGAAAUUGUCAUGAACGGAACAGUUAUUGCAGAUGGCGGUAAUGGUGGCACCAAGGGUGGGGGUGGCUCUGGGGGAAGCAUCUAUCUUAAGGCUGCAACCAUGCAAGGCGGUGGCAAAGUAAGUGCAUGUGGAGGCAAUGGUUUGUCUGGGGGAGGUGGAGGACGUGUUUCUAUUGAUGUUUUCAGUAGGCAUGAUGACACCUGUUUUUUUGUUCAUGGGGGGAGGAGUUCAGGAUGUCCAGACAAUGCAGGAGCAGCUGGGACACUUUAUGAAGAAGUACCUAAGAGUAUUACUGUUAGCAACAAUAACUUGAGCACACAAACUGAUACAGUUUUUUUAGACCCCCCAUAUGAGCCACUCUGGACAAAUGUUUUUAUCAAGAAUCAUGCAAAAGUUUCUCUGCCCCUGCGCUGGAGUCGUCUUCAGGCACAAGGACAAAUUAGUCUUCUAUCUCGGGCUACUCUAACUUUUGGCCUGACACAUUACCCAUAUUCAGAGUUUGAACUAUUGGCUGAGGAACUUCUUAUGAGUGAUUCUACAAUACAGGUCUUUGGUGCUCUAAGAAUGUCCGUAAAGAUGCUCCUUAUGUGGAACUCUAGGAUGGUUAUUGAUGGUGGCAGAGAUUCAGGAGUUGCAACUUCUUUACUGGAAGGAAGCAAUUUGAUAGUUUUGAGGGAAUCAUCAGUGUUACAUUCUAAUGCUAAUCUUGGAAUUCAUGGUCAAGGCGUUCUGAAUUUAUCCGGAAAUGGAGACACAAUUGAGGCACAACGUCUUAUUUUAUCACUAUUCUACAACAUACUGGUUGGACGUGGAGCUGUUCUACGGGGCCCACUUAUAAACGCGAGCGGUGAUGAUGUGGCCCCAAAGUUGAAUUGCGAAAAUGAGAGUUGUCCUAUGGAAAUUUUUCAUCCGCCUGAGGAUUGCAAUCUGAAUUCUUCCUUGUCUUUUACUCUACAGAUAUGCCGUGUUGAAGAUAUUGAUGUGUCUGGCCUUGUGCAAGGAACUGUCAUAAAUUUUAAUAGAGCAAGAAAUGUCACCAUACAGCGACAUGGGAGCAUUAGUGCAACAGGAUUAGGCUGCCAAGGUGGAAUUGGACGAGGAGGAAUGUUAAGCAGUGGCCUUAGUGGUGGGGGUGGGCAUGGUGGUAAAGGCGGGGAUGGUUUUUACAGCGGCAAGCAUUCAGGUGGCGGAGCUGCAUAUGGUAGUGCUGAUUUGCCUUGUGAACUUGGCAGUGGCAGUGGUAAUGUCAGUACAACAUCUUCAACAGCUGGUGGUGGUAUAAUAGUGAUGGGUUCUUUGGAGCAAUCUCUGCCUAUUCUCUCUCUCUCUGGUUCAGUGGAAGCCAACGGUGGCAGUUUCACUGGUGUGGCGACUCAUGCUGCAAAUGGAGAACCUGGUGGUGGUUCUGGGGGCACAAUUCUUCUAUUUGUGCGGACUUUAUCCUUAGAGAACAACUCUGUACUUUCUAGUGUUGGUGGGGUUGGAAGCAAUGGUAGUGGUGGAGGUGGAGGCGGUCGCAUUCACUUCCACUGGUCCGACAUUCCCACUGGAGAUGACUAUGUUCCUUUUGCAACUGUCAAAGGAUCAAUACUUGCGAGAGGAGGAAUUGUCGAAGGCCGAGGUUUUCCUGGUGAGAAUGGCACAGUUACAGCAAAAGAUUGCCCGAAAGGUCUUUAUGGUACAUUUUGCAAGGAGUGUCCUGUAGGAACAUACAAGAACAUUACCGGGUCUUCUAAGUCCUUGUGUUCUCCAUGCCCUGCAUAUGAGCUCCCUCAUCGGGCUAUAUACAUGCAUAUCCAAGGAGGUGUCGCUGAAACCCCAUGCCCGUACAAAUGUGUGUCAGAUAGAUAUCGUAUGCCUCACUGUUUUACUGCUCUUGAAGAGCUAAUAUACACUUUUGGUGGACCUUGGUUCUUUGGCUUGCUUCUUUCAGGCCUUCUUGUUUUAUUGGCUCUUGUUUUGAGUAUUGCUCGGAUGAAGUUUGUUGGUACUGAUGAGUUUCCUGGACCAGCACCAACUCAACAUGGCUCCCAAAUUGAUCACUCUUUUCCCUUCCUAGAAUCACUGAAUGAGGUAUUGGAAACAAAUAGGGCCGAAGAAUCUCACUGCCAUGUGCACAGGAUGUUUUUCAUGGGCCCAAAUACCUUCAGUGAACCUUGGCAUCUCCCGCACACGCCACCUGAACAGAUUACAGAUAUUGUAUACGAGGAUGCGUUUAACAAGUUUGUCGAUGAGAUCAAUGCUCUGGCAGCUUAUCAGUGGUGGGAGGGAUCGAUUUGUAGUAUUCUGUGUAUACUUUCCUACCCCUUGGCAUGGUCCUGGCAACAGUGGCGCCGAAGAAAAAAGUUACAACGACUACGUGAGUUUGUUCGAUCUGAAUAUGAUCAUUCGUGCUUACGGUCGUGCCGUUCACGUGCCCUUUACGAAGGACUGAAGGUAGCUGCCACUCCAGAUUUAAUGCUGGGUUAUUUGGAUUUUUACCUUGGUGGGGAUGAGAAAAGGCCCGAUCUGCCCACUCGUCUUCAUCAAAGAUUUCCAAUGUCCUUGAUUUUUGGCGGUGAUGGAAGUUACAUGGCUCCAUUUUCACUUCACAGUGAUAGUGUAGUCAUAAGUCUUAUAAGCCAGGUUGUACCAUCAUCAAUAUGGCACCGUCUUGUUGUUGGACUGAAUGCCCAGCUGCGUUUGGUUCGUCAUGGAAAUUUGAAAGUAACCUUUCUUCCUAUGCUCAAAUGGCUUGAAACUCAUGCAAAUCCUGCCUUAGACACAUACCAUGUACGUGUUGACCUUGCAUGGUUCCAAGCUACAGCAUUAGGAUACUGUCAAUACGGUCUUGUUAUUCAUGCUGUGGAGGGAGAAGCCGUGGCUGCUGAACUUCAAAGUGGCUCUAGAAUAAUAUUUGAUCAACAUUCAUUAAACCAGAAUGAAGAUGCUGACUCUCAACUAGGCCACUCAAGGAGCAAUGAUGCUUAUAUGUGUAAAAGAAUAACCGGUGGAAUUCUCAAUGUUGACAACUUGAUGACGCUCAAAGACAGGAGUGAUUUGUUUCAUCCCCUGUCUCUUAUCUUGCAUAAUACUAAACCGGUUGGACAUCAGGAUCUUGUUGGUCUGGUCAUCUCAAUAUUGCUUCUUGCAGAUUUUAGCUUAGUGUUGCUUACGUCUCUCCAGCUAUAUUCUUACUCUAUGGUCGACAUUUUGUUAGUCUUGUUUGUUCUUCCUCUUGGAAUACUGGCACCAUUUCCAGCUGGGAUAAAUGCUCUCUUUAGUCAUGGCCCACGUCGCUCAGCAGGCCUUGCUCGUGUGUAUGCGUUGUGGAACAUUACAUCUCUGGUUAAUGUUGUCGUGGCCUUUGUAUGUGGACUUGUGCAUUAUAAGUCAUCAACAAAAAGACAUCCAAGCAUGCAGCCAUGGAAUUUGGGCGGGGAUGAAACUAGCUGGUGGUUAUUCCCAACUGGACUCGUGUCGUGUAAAUUGAUCCAAGCAAGGCUUGUUGAUUGGCACGUCUCCAUCUUAGAGAUCCAGGAUCGUGCGGUAUACAGCAACGACCCAACUAUAUUCUGGCAGUGA